rnacentral:rRNA from 1 species
ACGUAGGUGGCAAGCGUUAUCCGGAAUUACUGGGCGUAAAGCGCACGCAGGUGGCUUGUUAAGUCUGACGUGAAAGCUCCUGGCUUAACUGGGAGAGGUCGUUGGAGCCUGGCAGGCUUGAGGCGAGGAGAGGGGUGUAGAAUUCCCGGUGUAGUGGUGGAAUGCGUAGAUAUCGGGGGGAAUACCAGUGGCGAAAGCGGCACCCUGGCCUUGGCCUGACGCUCAGGUGCGAAAGCGUGGGGAGCAAACGGGAUUAGAUACCCCGGUAGUCCACGCCAUAAACGAUGAACACUAGGUGUAGGUGGUCUUAAAACUGUCUGUACCGUAGCUAACGCGAUAAGUGUUCCGCCUGGGGAGUACGACCGCAAGGUUA